rnacentral:rRNA from 1 species
UACGGAGGGUGCAGGCGUAUCCGGAUUCACUGGGUUUAAAGGGUGCGUAGGUGGGUUAGUAAGUCAGUGGUGAAAUCUCCGAGCUUAACUUGGAAACUGCCAUUGAUACUAUUAAUCUUGAAUAUUGUGGAGGUCAGCGGAAUAUGUCAUGUAGCGGUGAAAUGCUUAGAUAUGACAUAGAACACCAAUUGCGAAGGCAGCUGGCUACGCAUAUAUUGACACUGAGGCACGAAGCGUGGGGAUCAAACAGG